rnacentral:tRNA from 1 species
ACUAAGAUGGCAGAUUAGUGCAAUAGAUUUAAGCUCUAUAUAUAAAUUCAUAUUUUCUUAGUA